rnacentral:rRNA from 1 species
UACGGAAGGUGCAAGCGUUAAUCGGAAUCACUGGGCGUAAAGCGCUCGUAGGUGGCUUUGUAAGUCAGGUGUGAAAGCCCACGGCUCAACCGUGGAAUUGCACUUGAUACUGCAUUGCUUGAGUUCGGGAGAGGGUAGUGGAAUUCCAGGUGUAGGAGUGAAAUCCGUAGAGAUCUGGAGGAACACCAGUGGCGAAGGCGACUACCUGGACCGAUACUGACACUGAGGAGCGAAAGCGUGGGGAGCAAACAGGAUUAGAUACCCCGGUAGU